UUACCGGAACCUGGGAAUGAAGAUACCAGGGCAAGCGAGGUAGGUGCUAAGCUGGCAAAACCGCUUAGUAAGCCGAAGACGUGAUGCGGAGCGAAUUAAAGUAGCGAAGUCCGGGAUUCGAGCUGUCGAGAAAAGCCGCUAUUGUGUGAUAUGUACCCGUACCGUAAACCGACACAGGUGGAUGAGGAGAGAAUCCUAAGGCCGGCGGGAGAAGCAUUGUUAAGGAACUCGGCAAAAUGACCCUGUAACUUCGGGAUAAAGGGUGCCACAGAGAUGUGGCCGCAGAGAAUAGGCUCAAGCAACUGUUUAGCAAAAACACAGGUCUAUGCGAAACCGAAAGGUGAGGUAUAUGGGCUGACGCCUGCCCGGUGCUGGAAGGUUACGAGGAGAGGUUAGAGCAAUCGAAGCUUUGAAUCUAAGCCCCAGUAAACGGCGGCCGUAACUAUAACGGUCCUAAGGUAGCGAAAUUCCUUGUCGGGUAAGUUCCGACCCGCACGAAAGGCGUAAUGAUUUGAGCGCUGUCUCGACAAUGCACCCGGUGAAAUUGAAAUACCAGUGAAGAUGCUGGUUACCUGCGCCAGGACGGAAAGACCCCAUGGAGCUUUACUCUAGCUUGAUACUGGGAUUCGGUACUGCAUGUACAGGAUAGGUGGGAGACGAAGAGGACAGGACGCCAGUCUUGUCGGAGUCGCUGUUGGGAUACCACCCUUGUGGUACUGGAUUUCUAUCCAACCUCCGUGACCCGGAGGUGGGACAAUGUCAGGUGGGGAGUUUGACUGGGGCGGUCGCCUCCGAAAGGGUAUCGGAGGCGCUCAAAGGUUCCCUCAGAAUGGUUGGAAACCAUUCAAAGAGUGCAAAGGCAGAAGGGAGCUUGACUGCGAGACCGACGGGUCGAGCAGGUACGAAAGUAGGACUUAGUGAUCCGGUGGUAGAAAGUGGGAUUGCCAUCGCUCAACGGAUAAAAGCUACCCUGGGAUAACAGGCUUAUCACUCCCAAGAGUUCACAUCGACGGAGUGGUUUGGCACCUCGAUGUCGGCUCAUCGCAUCCUGGGGCUGAAGUAGGUCCCAAGGGUUGGGCUGUUCGCCCAUUAAAGCGGUACGCGAGCUGGGUUCAGAACGUCGUGAGACAGUUCGGUCCCUAUCCGGCGCGGGCGUAGGAUAUUUGAGAGGAGCUGCCCUUAGUACGAGAGGACCGGGGUGGACUGGCCUCUGGUGUAUCUGUUGAGCCAUCAGGCUCAUGGCAGAGUAGCCAAGCCGGGACGGGAUAAACGCUGAAGGCAUCUAAGCGUGAAGCCCCCCUCAAGAUGAGAUAUCCCAUACGCAGGUAGUAAGACCCCUUGAAGACGACGAGGUAGAUAGGGCAGAGGUGGAAGCGUAGUAAUACGUGAAGCUGACUGUUACUAAUCGGUCGAGGGCUUAACU
rnacentral:rRNA from 1 species